GCCGCUUUUGGUGGACACUCAGGAUCCAGCUAUGGGUGCUGUGAGUGCCCCUGUGCUGACAGUUUGCGAUCUCUUCGACUGAUCAUUUAAACAGAAUGUAUGGGUAACGCUUGCUACUGCAAUAGGACAAAACAGACUCUGUUCUUAAUCACACUAUGGUUGCCAACUCUUUUAUGAGAAAAUGCUAACAG